GAUGAACGCUGGCGGCGUGCCUAAUACAUGCCAGUCGAGCGAACAGACGAGGAGCUUGCUCCUCUGACGUUAGCGGCGGACGGGUGAGUAACACGUGGAUAACCUACCUAUAAGACUGGGAUAACUUCGGGAAACCGGAGCUAAUACCGGAUAAUAUAUUGAACCGCAUGGUUCAAUAGUGAAAGACGGUUUUGCUGUCACUUAUAGAUGGAUCCGCGCCGCAUUAGCUAGUUGGUAAGGUAACGGCUUACCAAGGCAACGAUGCGUAGCCGACCUGAGAGGGUGAUCGGCCACACUGGAACGGGGACACGGUCCAGACUCCUACGGGAGGCAGCAGUAGGGAAUCUUCCGCAAUGGGCGAAAGCCUGACGGAGCAACGCCGCGUGAGUGAUGAAGGUCUUCGGAUCGUAAAACUCUGUUAUUAGGGAAGAACAAAUGUGUAAGUAACUAUGCACGUCUUGACGGUACCUAAUCAGAAAGCCACGGCUAACUACGUG
rnacentral:rRNA from 1 species